ensembl:misc_RNA Y_RNA Y RNA
GGCUGGUCCAAUGGUAAUGAGUUAUCAGAAUUUAACAUAGUGUCACUAAAGUUGGUAUAUGACUCCCCACUGCUAAAUUUGACUGGCUUAAA